rnacentral:rRNA from 1 species
CCUACGGGAGGCAGCAGUGGGGAAUAUUGCACAGUGGGGGAAACCCUGAUGCAGCGACGCCGCGUGAGUGAAGAAGUAUUUCGGUAUGUAAAGCUCUAUCAGCAGGGAAGAAAAUGACGGUACCUGACUAAGAAGCCCCGGCUAACUACGUGCCAGCAGCCGCGGUAAUACGUAGGGGGCAAGCGUUAUCCGGAUUUACUGGGUGUAAAGGGAGCGUAGGUGGUAUGGCAAGUCAGAGGUGAAAACCCAGGGCUUAACCUUGGGAUUGCCUUUGAAACUGUCAGACUAGAGUGCAGGAGGGGUAAGUGGAAUUCCUAGUGUAGCGGUGAAAUGCGUAGAUAUUAGGAGGAACACCAGUGGCGAAGGCGGCUUACUGGACUGUAACUGACACUGAGGCUCGAAAGCGUGGGGAGCAAACAGGAUUAGAUACCCUGGUAGUCC